rnacentral:lncRNA from 1 species
AAGGAGACAACUAGACCACCUGCCCAUGGAGAGACUUCCGGGCUACCAGCUGCGGAGAGUUGCUACUCACUCCAGGCUCUCCUCUGCUGAGAGCUGAGUAGAGUCUGGACUACCAGCUGUGGAAGGCAUGAGAGGUGACAGCGUGCUGGCAGUCCUCACAGCCCUCGCUCGUUCUCGGCACCUCCUCUGCCUGGGCUCCCAAUUUGGCGGCACUUGAGGAGCCCUUCAGCCCGCCGCUGCACUGUGGGAGCCCCUUUCUGGGCUGGCCAAGGCCGGAGCCAGCUCCCUCAGCUUGCGAGGAGGUGUGGAGGGAGAGGCGCGGGCGGGAACCGGGGCUGCGCGCGGUGCUUGCGGGCCAGCGCGAGUUCCGGGUGGGUGUGGGCUUGGCGGACCCCGCACUUGGAGCGGCCGGCCGGCCCCACCGGCCCCGGGCAGUGAGGGGCUUAGCACCUGGGCCAGCAGCUGCUGUGCUCAAUUUCUCUCCGGGCCUUAGCUGCCUUCCCAUGGGGCAGGGCUCGGGACCUGCAGCCCGCCAUGCCUGAGCCUCCCCUCCGUCCGUGGGCUCCUGUGCGGCCCAGCCUCCCCAACGAGUGCCGUCCGUCCCCUGAUCCACGGCGCCCAGUCCCAUCGACCACUCAAGGGAUGAGGAGUGCGGGCGCACGGCACGGGAGUGGAAGGCAGCUACACCUGCAGCCCCGGUGCAGGAUCCACUGGGUGAAGCCAGCUGGGCUCCUGAGUCUGGUGGGGACGUGGAGAACCUUUAUGUCUAGCUAAGGGAUUGUAAAUACACCAAUCAGUGCCCUGUCAAAACGGACCACUCAGCUCUACCAAUCAGCAGGAUGUGGGUGGGGCCAGAUAAGAGAAUAAACGCAGGCUGCCCGAGCCAGCAGUAGCAACCCCCUGGGGUCCCCUUCCACACUGUGGAAGCUUUGUUCUUUCGCUCUUUGCAAUACUUGCUGCUGCUCACUCUCUUUUGGUCCACACUGCCUUUAUGAGCUGUAACACUCACCGGGAACGUCUGCAGCUUCACUCCUGAAGUCAGCGAGACCACGAACCCACUGGAAGGAAGGAACAACUCCAGACGCGCCACCUUAAGAGCUGUAACACUCACCGCGAAGGUCUGCAGCUUCACUCCUGAAGCCAGCGAGACCACGAACCCACAGGGAGGAACGAACAACUCCAGACGCGCCGCCUUAAGAGCUGUAACACUCACCGCGAAGGUCCGCAGCUUCGCUCCUGAGCCAGCAAGACCACGAACCCACCAAAAGGAAGAAACUCCAAACAGAUCUGAACAUCAGAAGGAACAAACUCCGGACACGCCACCUUUAAGAACUGUAACACUCACCUUGAGGGUCGGCAGCUUCAUUCUUGAAGUCAGUGAGACCAAGAACCCACCAAUUCCGGACACAGGGAGCUAGCCACUCCGUGGUUUCUGCUCUGCUGAGAACUGAGCAGACUUUGGGACUACCAGCUCCAGAGAGGAGCUACCCACUGCAGAGUUCCUCCAGGCUGUUCAUUUUUCCUCCCCUGUCCUCUCUUUGCAGAUGGGUAAUCAUGUCUCUGCACCACGGGACACUCCCCUCUGAGGCAUAAAAGUUUAAUUUUUGGCCUGGCACGGUGGCUUAUGCCUGUAAUCCCAGCACUUUGAGAGGCCGAGGCGGGCGGAUCACCUGAGGUCAGUAGUUCGAGACCAGCUUAGCCAACAUAGUGAAACCCAGUCUCUACUAAAAAUACAAAAAUUAGCUGGGCAUGGUGGCACGGGCCUGUAAUGCCAGCUACUCGGGAGGCUGAGGCAAGAGAAUCGCUUGAACCCAGGAGGCGGAGGUUACAGUGAGCCGAGAUCGCGCCACUGCACUCCAGCCUGGGUGCAGUGAGACUGCGGCUCAAAAAAAAAGAAUUCUUACCAGUUGAACCUCUGGCUUCUUUCUCUCUGUCUGUGAAAACAUGGUUGUAGAUUCUCUCUCCUCCAUGACUCCAUGACUUCCCUUUUACUGGGAACCUAUGCAUAGGACUCUGAGAGAGAUCUGUCAUUUUCCCCAAAACCAGGCCCCCUGUCAGCAUGAAGCAGUUAGAUAUACCUCUUCAGAGAUGUGAUUGAUGGCAGCGGCAGCCCAUCUGGACCAGCCACUGCCGUGACGCCAUCAGUGUGAGACGUGUAGCUAGGGCUGUGCACUCCACAGAGCUGGUGGGAGCUGGGAAUAGGUGAAAACCCUGCCUCCUUGUGAGUUGGCAGGACGGGAGCCUCCUGUUCCCUGGCUGCUGUUGUGGCCACCGAGCCGCAGCCCUGGAGCCAGGCAUCCCUGUGCUUGGGGAUCAGAGCGAGCAGGAGCAGAUCCUCUCCCUUCUGGGUGCAGCUGCAGCUGCCCAGCCAUGGCUGUGGUCCCGGAAGUCUCUGUGCUCUUGGGAGCUGGGAGGGCCCUCUGCCUCCUGCCCCUUACGCACUCCAGAGUCUCCUCUCUGUUGAGAGCUAAGCAGACAUCAGGACUACCAGCUGCAGAGAGGAGCUACCCACUGUGGGCUUCGUCUCUGCUGAGAGCUGAACACUCACUGGGACGCCCUGCCUAUGGAAACCAGCUGUUCACUCUGGGUCUCCUCUGAGCUGUUCUGUCGCUCAGUAAAGGUCUUCUUCUGCUUACUCGCCCUCCAUUUGUCUGCCUUACCUCAUUCAUCCUGGACACAGGACAAGAACUUGGGACUUGCCGGUAUGGUGGAGCUAAAAUAGCUGUAACACAAACAGGAUUGAAACAUGCCCCUUGCUCGCCACAUUGUGGAUGACAAGAGGGAGGGAAGAAAGGAGAGAAGAUCUGCGACCCUUCGGCAAACCCAGACUUAGGAGAUCGGAGAGCCAAGACUGUGACACCCUUUCUGGGGCUCUGUGGUUCCUGGCGUCUCCAAGCUUCUGGGCACCUCGGCUUUCCCCGGUGCCAGUCGUGGAAGCUGCUUGUGGUAAGUCUGGUCCAAUAGCCUCACAGUAAGCCAACGUCCAUGCUGGUGCCUGGGGCUUCCCACCCCACUGCAGCUGGCAUGCCUGGCUAGGCACAAUGGCUAGAUCUUGUGCUUGCUUGCUUGCUCACAUACCCAUCACCGCUCUGCACCUUACUCACCCUUACAGGCGUGAGAUUUGGGCCAGUAGUGUGAGCCAAACCCAGCCUGCCAGGCCUGGUGGGUGGAAUGAGCUCAUGGGGCCUGAGCAAAACUUGGGCAAAGGCACCGACAGCCACAGAGGUUUCCGGCUGGUGAAGUGACACAUCAAAUAUCCCGUGACAAUAUCAAUUUUCUAAACACACAUUUAUAAUGCAUAUAUAAUUGGAAAGCUGUACUGGUUCUCAAUAUAAAUCCUAAUUGGAAAACUUAGUUAUAUAAAGAAAUUCAUUGCAUUUCA